rnacentral:lncRNA from 1 species
GAACACAGAAUGGGCUCCAACACCCAUCUCCCAGGCAUUCUCUGCAUUGAUGCUGGUAACGUGUUGACUCCAUCAUUACCGGGACAGUCACAAUGCUGAUUACUGGCAGCUGGGGAUGGAGCAGCUCGUCUCAGACUGUGUAACCUAUUGUUUCUAAAGAGCUUCCAGCUGCAGAAGCCUCCAAGCUCUUGGGCCAGCUGUGGAUUCUUUGCUGAGAUGGAGGUGUAACCGAGGAAGGGGCCUGAGAAGUAAGAAGGACGGAAAAUGAAAGCAAAGAGUUUGGAUGACCCGGGCCAUACACAGUGGCCAUGGAGCAGGAGACCAUCUUCCCUGAGGGAUGAGCCGAGGACUUGGCACUCCCCUGACCAUAAAUGGCUUGGCCAGGGCCCUCUUGGAGCCACCUCUUGCCCUGUCACCCUUGCUCUCCCAGCUGGAUGUUACUACAAAUGCGAGACACAAGCCAAUAACGCUAGCUAGAAAGGAGCUUGCCGAGGGCAGUGUUUGCAGAAGGUUCUCGGGAGGCUGUCGGAAAUGAGUUUUUCACUGAACUUUACACUGCCAGCCAACACGACUUCCUCCCCGGUUGUUACAGAUGGGAAAGGAGCAGUACGUAUAUCACUUAAAUGAUGGAGCCUCAGUUUGGUCAUUUAUAAAAUGGACAUAAUAAUGCUCUACUGUCUGGUGCAUUCGUUUUGAGGAUUAGAUAGCAUUUGAUAUAUGAACUGUCACCAAGCACAGAAUCUGGCUCAACUAUUAUUCUUAGGACCAACUCAGCUCAAAAGUGAGGGAUAAUGUGCAAAAUCACAGAUGGAUUUCACAAAUUGCUGAGCAAAAGAGGCUAGAAUCAGAAGAGUACAUACUUUCCAUUUGCAUCUAGAUGACAUUGAAAAACAGGACUGUGGGCCCUCUCUCGGAUUAGCAGCAGGCAUCCCAUCCCUGGUGGCCACAGCCCUGCUGGUGGCUUUGCUAUUUACUCUGAUUCACCGAAGAAGAAGCAGCAAUGAGUCUGCCGAGGAAAGUGAGAGGCCAUGUGAAAUUUCAGAAAUCUAUGACAGUCCCAGGAUAGCUGAGAAUCCUAGGAGGGCACCCACACACGGGAAGAAUAUGAUGGGAUCUGAAGAAUCUCACAUAUAUGUGAAGACUGUAGCAGGAAGCGAGGAGCCCAUGCAUGACACUUACCGUCCUACUGAAGAAAUGGAGAGAAGAAGGGGAUUGUGGUGGCUUAUGCCCAGACUGAGCUUGGAAUGAUGUGGCUCAGCCAAAGAGCAGAUCUGGUGCUGGAACAGAGCUGAAAACCCAGGGAUUUAUGCUUGAGUGAGGAGAGAUGCCAAACUGCUUCUUAACCAAUCUCAAUUUCAUUGACAGAUCUGGAAAACUUUUGGGUUGAUUUGUCUCUUUAGGGAACAGAUCUGCAAAGGUUCAUUCCAACUCUCAGAUCUUGUGGUUUAAUAAGCAGUAAAGCACAAAGUGUGGUCACUGUGCAUCCAGAAGGAGCCUUUGGAUCCUGUUCCUGACCCCAGUGGGAAUUCGCUUUUCUUUGUGAUUUUGGGAAAGGGACUUGAUUUCUGAGUGUCUUGCCUUCUCAUCUUUUUUCACAUCCUUUUCCUCAAAAAAGUCAUCAGACCUGGAUUCCAUGGGAGAGUUGACCAAGGCCAACAUGGGGUACAAAUUGGGACAUAAAUGAAGCUUACAGGGAAUGUGCAAGGGGAAGCAGUUCCUUGUUUCUGAACAUCUCAGGGUAGAAAUCAUGUGGAACCACACAGUCCCUGACCACAGGUGCAGCAUGUGACUGGAUCAUUCAUUGCUCCACCUGGGUCUGUGAUCAGAGAGUAUUCAAGGAAGGCAAUUCUGCAAUGAACUGUGUGUGUGUUGAGGGUCAGUAGGGUAGAAGGAAGGCAGAGGUUUCGAAAGAUUAUUAGAAAUGAUGGCUAUAUCCAUUUUGUGGGAUUAGAGAGAAAGGUCCAAGUCCUUGGACUAUCAUGGGGAAAAACUCACCGGCAGGAAGAGAGAUCAAGAGGACUCUGAGUGGAUGAACACAGGACCAAAGGGGUGGGACAGGUAGUAAUGUGCCUGCCACCUGAGGGAAGCCCGUGGACAGCGUCAGCCAGCUGGAGGCAGGCCUUCACCAUUGCUUCUGUGAGGAAUCCUCCAGGAAUCCUGGUUCCUCCACAUAGGGCCAUUGCUCAUGAGUAGGCUGGGUUUCCUGGUGGGAGAACCUGGGUUCAGGACCUCUUGGGGUUCAUCCACCAGCUCCAUGCACCACCAUGAUAAGCUGUAGAAACAUUCCUUUCUCACACAGGACCUCUGAUUGCUCAGAAACACACCCCCUCUUCUUCAAAUAACCAAGAAUAGGUUCUACAAACUCAAUCACUGCCAUGUGCCAACACCUGAUUUUCAAAACCCCUUGUGAAAUUCAAUUUUGCGCUAAGUCCCCUAGGUCCAGUCACCUUGACAAGCAAAUGUGGCCAUUUUUAAGCAGAUGUGCCCAGUGAUCCAGGUGCUUGUACUUCUCUUACAUGUUGGGAAGGACCUUGAAUUUGCUGAGAACUUGACUGUGGCCUUGGUCUUGACACUUAUAAGUUCAAGCCCUGGGGCAAAUUGUUGACCCGCAGAAGCUUCGAUUCUUCCCUUACGAAAUGGAGAUAGCAGUUCUCAUCCUUCCACCCCCAGGGUGGUUGUGAGGAUUGAAACACGCAUGUGAAUAAAGCUUGUAGUCUAUAAGGUAAUGUGUGACUUGUAUUUUGGAUCAUUUAUUUUUAUUCCACUUAUAAUUCAUUGCUCAGAGUCUUUAUUUCAAAUUGUUUCUACUAAAAUAGCAAGAUUCAGUAUUCCUGUCAUUUUUUUUCCUGCUAUGAUGUGCAAGAACUUAUUUUGGAAUAAAGUGAAAAGUAAAAUGGUCAUUUUUAUAGACAUACAACACAUCUGUGGUUUCUCUUGGCCUAUAUUAAAGUCUAUGACAUUGGCCCUGGGGUUGGAAUCAAGGUUAUCCCGGGGAUUUUUCUGGUGCUGGCUCUCUCUGGGGCUGAUGAGGGAGGUGUUCAUUUCUUCAUUUAGGGCAGCCUGUGUUGUGGGAAACUACAGGGACCAGAAGUCAGAAGCUGUAGCUCUCUGACCCAGGGCUGGUACGAGCUUAGGGAUGACUCUGGGCCAGUCGCAUUUUAUCUCCUUUCUUCAUGUACCACUUGGUGUUUGGGUUGGCUUGUCUCUAAGGUUAACUCCACCCAGUUCAAACAUUCUAACUUUGAUUUUCCAAAUUCUGCAAAGUAGGGCCUCCCCUUCCGCCUCCCUGCUCACCGCUCCCGUCAGCACAGCCUUCUGGACCUUGCAAAGUCCUUCUCAGCUCUUGGCUUUGGAGGUGGAGAGAGAGACUUAUUUCUCCUGUAUCCUGCCAAUAGACAACAGUUUCACAUAGCUUUCCUUGUGGCAUUUAUCACUGCAAAAGCGUAAUGCCAAUUAAAGACAAAAAACAUGAAGAAUGACUAAUGUUUGAAGCAUUGUCUAUUUAUACGAUCUUGCACUCCCACCAUCCUGGUGGAAAUUAUUGAUUAAUGCAUGAGUUAAUUUAACAAAUGGGCAUUGGCUUCCCUCAUGUGUCAGACCAUCUGCCGGGUCCUAUGAUAAGAUUGGAGACAUAAUGAAGAGGCUAAAGGCAACUGGGCUUUCCAGGAAAUGUCUCUCUACCAAAUGAACAUGGAGUCUCCUAUCCACUCAAGGAAACACUAUUAGGAAAGCUUUCAUAGAGGUGCUUUCCUUCUAGACUCAAAGACACAAAACAGACUCUUUCUUCCUUCUGGGCUCAAAUGAAAGAAGAAUCUACACUCUCUUUUCUUCGUUUUCCUUUACCUGAAGUUGUAGAAGGAGAGAUGGGCCUGACCCUUCCUGCCGCAGGGCACUCCGAAUGACUGAAGACCGAAAAGCCUGGUUAUGUCAGGGAAUACCUCAAAAUGCUGUGCCUACAAGAGAAACUCAGAGAAGGCUCUCUCUCCUCCACUCUGUAAUGAGGCUACCUCAACUCCAAUAAGUCAAGAGGUGUCAAAAAUACCAAAAUUGGGCAUGUGAGAGUGGGGAAGAAUUUGUAAGAUGGCUGAGUCUGUCCCAUAGGCUAUAGGAAGAAUUUGAAAACUGAUGGCGGCCUUUGAAGGACAGGCCACGUGUAACUUGGGGCUUAAAACUGAUUUGUAAUGACGGUGAAUCCAGUUCUCACAGAGUUAUGUUUGUAAGACUAAAAUGGGUUGAAAGAUUUGGCUGUGAGCGAGAACAAACCAUGAUCAAAUAAUUCUACUGGAAAUACAACUGAUUCUGUGACAAGGAAUCAGACAGUGAUUAUUUUUUCCAUUUUAUUUAUUUUCUUUUUUUCAUUUUAAUUUUUGUUUUUAUAGUAGUAACAUUGGAUAACAUUAUGUAACUUUCAGAUGUACAUCAUAAUAUAUUUCAAAUUCUGUGUAGAUUAUAUCACGUUCACCCCGCAAAGACUAAUUAUAAUCCAUCACCACACAUUCGCCUAAUCACCCCUUUCACCCUCCUCCCUACCCGUUUCCCCUCUGGCAACCAUCAGUCCAAUCUCUGUUGCUAUGUGUUUGUUGUUGUUUUAUCUUCUACUUAUGAAUGAGAUCAUAUGGCACUUGACUUUCUCCCUCUGACUUAUUUCACUUAGCAUAAUUCCCUCAAGGUCUACCCAUGUUGUCACAAAUGGCUGGAUUUCAUCCUUUCUUAUGGCUGAGUAGUAUUCCAUUGUGCACGUAUACCACAUCUUAUUUAUCCAUUUGUCCCUUGAUGGGCACCUAGGUUGCUUCCAAGUCUUGGCUAUUGUGAACAAUGCUGUGACAAACAUAGGGGUGCAUGUAUCUUUAUGCAUUUGUGCUUUCAAGUUCUUUGGAUAAAUACUAGGCAGUGGACUAGCUGGAUCAUAUGGUAGAUCUAUUCUUAAUUUUCUGAGGAGACUCCAUCCUGUUUUCCAUAGUGGCUGCACCAGUUAAAAUGUCCGUACUUCCUAAAGCA